AGAGUUUGAUCCUGGCUCAGGAUGAACGCUGGCUACAGGCUUAACACAUGCAAGUCGUGGGGCAGCGGAUGCUUAGCUUGCUAAGUAUGCCGGCGACCGGCGCACGGGUGAGUAACGCGUACCGAACCUGCCCAUCACACAGGGAUAGGCUUGCGAAAGCAAGAUUAAUACUGAUGGUCUCAGUUGUAUGCAUGUAUGAUUGAGUAAAGCCUUCGGGCGGUGAUGGAUGGCGGUGCGUCCCAUUAGGACGUUGGCGGGGUAACGGCCCACCAAUCCUUCGAUGGGUAGGGGUUCUGAGAGGAAGGUCCCCCACAUUGGAACUGAGAUACGGUCCAAACUCCUACGGGAGGCAGCAGUGAGGAAUAUUGGUCAAUGGGCGAGAGCCUGAACCAGCCAAGUAGCGUGCGGGAUGAAGGCCCUUGUGGUCGUAAACCGCUUUUAUCAGUGAAUAAAGUGCACCACGUGUGGUGUCAUUGCAGGUAGCUGAAGAAAAAGGACCGGCUAAUUCCGUGCCAGCAGCCGCGGUAAUACGGAAGGUCCGGGCGUUAUCCGGAAUUAUUGGGUUUAAAGGGAGCGCAGGCGGGAGUAUAAGUCAGCUGUUAAAUAUCAGAGCCCAACUCUGUUAUGCAGUUGAAACUAUAUUUCUUGAGUACGCACAGGGAUGGCGGAAUUCAGGGUGUAGCGGUGAAAUGCUUAGAUAUCCUGAAGAACUCCGAUCGCGAAGGCAGCCAUCCGGAGCGUAACUGACGCUGAGGCUCGAAGGUGCGGGUAUCGAACAGGAUUAGAUACCCUGGUAGUCCGCACGGUAAACGAUGAAUACUCGCAGUUCGGCCGUUUAGGUCGAGUUGUCCAGCGAAAGCGUUAAGUAUUCCACCUGGGGAGUACGCCGGCAACGGUGAAACUCAAAGGAAUUGACGGGGGCCCGCACAAGCGGAGGAACAUGUGGUUUAAUUCGAUGAUACGCGAGGAACCUUACCCGGGCUUGAACCAAGAGUGCGGAGUGCAGAGAUGCGCUUUUUCUUCGGACACUUUUGGAGGUGCUGCAUGGUUGUCGUCAGCUCGUGCCGUGAGGUGUCGGCUUAAGUGCCAUAACGAGCGCAACCCUUUUCUACGUUUGCCAUCGGGUAAUGCCGGGAACUCCGUGGAUACUGCCGCCGCAAGGCGGAGGAAGGUGGGGAUGACGUCAAAUCAGCACGGCCCUUACGUCCGGGGCUACACACGUGUUACAAUGGUCGGAGCAGCAGGAAGCUACCUGGCGACAGGAUGCUGAUCCCAAAACCCGGCCUCAGUUCGGACUGGAGUCUGCAACCCGACUCCACGAAGCCGGAUUCGCUAGUAAUCGCGCAUCAGCCAUGGCGCGGUGAAUACGUUCCCGGGCCUUGUACACACCGCCCGUCAAGCCAUGAAAGCCGGGGGUGCCUGAAAGCCGUGACCGCGAGGGUCGGCCUAGGGUAAAACCGGUGAUUGGGGCUAAGUCGUAACAAGGUAGCCGUACCGGAAGGUGCGGCUG
rnacentral:rRNA from 2 species